rnacentral:rRNA from 1 species
AAUAGAUACCCGGGUAGUCCACGCCGUAAACGAUGAAUGCUAGGUGUCAGGGGUUUCGAUACCCUUGGUGCCGAAGUUAACACAUUAAGCAUUCCGCCUGGGGAGUACGGUCGCAAGACUGAAACUCAAAGGAAUUGACGGGGACCCGCACAAGCAGUGGAGUAUGUGGUUUAAUUCGAAGCAACGCGAAGAACCUUACCAGGUCUUGACAUCCCUCUGACCGUUCUAGAGAUAGAGCUUCCCUUCGGGGCAGAGGAGACAGGUGGUGCAUGGUUGUCGUCAGCUCGUGUCGUGAGAUGUUGGGUUAAGUCCCGCAACGAGUCGCAACCCUUGAUCUUAGUUGCCAGCAUUGAGUUGGGCACUCUAGGAUGACUGCCGGUGACAAACCGGNGGAAGGUGGGGAUGACGUCAAAUCAUCAUGCCCCUUAUGACCUGGGCUACACACGUACUACAAUGGCCGGUACAACGGGCAGCGGAAGGAGCGAUCCGGGAGCGAAUCCCGAAAAAGCCGGUCUCGAGUUCGGAUUCGCAGGCUGCUAACG